UACGGGGGGAGCAAGCGUUGUUCGGAUUUACUGGGCGUAAAGGGCGCGUAGGCGGCCACGACAAGUCAGUUGUGAAAUCUCUGGGCUUAACUCAGAACGGUCAACUGAUACUGUCGGGCUAGAGUGCAGAAGGGGCAACUGGAAUUCCCGGUGUAGUGGUGAAAUGCGUAGAUAUCGGGAGGAACACCAGUGGCGAAGGCGACUUCCUGGCCUGUUCUUGACGCUGAGGCGCGAAAGCUAGGGUAGCAAACGGG
rnacentral:rRNA from 1 species